UACGUAGGGGGCUAGCGUUGUCCGGAUUUAUUGGGCGUAAAGAGCGUGUAGGCGGCCAGAUAGGUCUGCUGUGAAAACUCGAGGCUUAACCUCGAGCUGUCGGCGGAAACCAUCUGGCUAGAGUCCGGAAGAGGAGAAUGGAAUUCCCGGUGUAGCGGUGAAAUGCGCAGAUAUCGGGAAGAACACCCGUGGCGAAGGCGGUUCUCUGGGACGGUACUGACGCUGAGACGCGAAAGCGUGGGGAGCGAACAGG
rnacentral:rRNA from 1 species